GCUAGCGUGGCCCAAUGGACAAGGCGCAUAACUGCGAAUCAUGAGAUUCUGGGUUCGAAUCCCGACGUUGGUU
rnacentral:tRNA from 1 species